rnacentral:rRNA from 1 species
GAUGAACGCUGGCGGCGUGCCUAAUACAUGCAAGUCGAGCGAACAGACGAGGAGCUUGCUCCUCUGACGUUAGCGGCGGACGGGUGAGUAACACGUGGAUAACCUACCUAUAAGACUGGGAUAACUUCGGGAAACCGGAGCUAAUACCGGAUAAUAUAUUGAACCGCAUGGUUCAAUAGUGAAAGACGGUUUUGCUGUCACUUAUAGAUGGAUCCGCGCCGCAUUAGCUAGUUGGUAAGGUAACGGCUUACCAAGGCGACGAUGCGUAGCCGACCUGAGAGGGUGAUCGGCCACACUGGAACUGAGACACGGUCCAGACUCCUACGGGAGGCAGCAGUAGGGAAUCUUUCGCAAUGGGCGAAAGCCUGACGGAGCAACGCCGCGUGAGUGAUGAAGGUCUUCGGAUCGUAAAACUCUGUUAUUAGGGAAGAACAAAUGUGUAAGUAACUAUGCACGUCUUGACGGUACCUAAUCAGAAAGCCACGGCUAACUACGUG